rnacentral:piRNA from 1 species
UGGCCUAGGAAUGGGAAUCCUACUGUGGU